rnacentral:rRNA from 1 species
GAUGAACGCUGGCGGCGUGCCUAAUACAUGCAAGUCGAGCGAACAGACGAGGAGCUUGCUCCUUUGACGUUAGCGGCGGACGGGUGAGUAACACGUAGGUAACCUACCUAUAAGACUGGGAUAACUUCGGCAAACCGGAGCUAAUACCGGCUAAUAUUUCGAACCGCAUGGUUCGAUAGUGAAAGAUGGCUUUGCUAUCACUUAUAGAUGGACCUGCGCCGUAUUAGCUAGUUGGUAAGGUAACGGCUUACCAAGGCAACGAUACGUAGCCGACCUGAGAGGGUGAUCGGCCAUACUGGAACUGAGACACGGUCCAGACUCCUACGGGAGGCAGGAGUAGGCAAUCUUCCGCAAUGGGCGAAGGCGUGACGGAGCAACGCCGCGUGAGUUAUAAAGGUCUUGGGAUCGUAAAACUCUGUUAUUAGGGAAGAACAAACGUGUAAGGAACUGUGCACGUCUUGACGGUACCUAAUCAGAAAGCCACGGCUAACUACGUG